rnacentral:rRNA from 1 species
UGCCAGCAGCCGCGGUAAUACGGAGGUGGCAAACGUUGCUCGGAAUCACUGGGCUUAAAGGGCGUGUAGGCGGCCGAUCAAGUCGGAUGUGAAAUCUCUCGGCUCAACCGAGAAACUGCAUUCGAUACUGAUUAGCUAGAGUGCGAGAGGGGUGAGUGGAACUCCAGGUGUAGCGGUGAAAUGCGUAGAUAUCUGGAGGAACGCCGGUGGCGAAAGCGACUCACUGGCUCGCAACUGACGCUGAGGCGCGAAAGCUAGGGGAGCAAACAGGAUUAGAUA